GAUGAAGAACGCAGCGAAAUGCGAUAAGUAAUGUGAAUUGCAGAAUUCAGUGAAUCAUCGAAUCUUUGAACGCACCUUGCGCCCUUUGGCUAUUCCGAAGGGCAUGCCUGUUUGAGUAUCAUGAACACCUCAACUCUCGUGGCUUGCCAUGAUGAGCUUGGACUUUGGGGGUUUUGCUGGCCUACGGCCGGCUCCUCUCAAACGAAUUAGCUUGCCAGUGUUUGGUGGCAUCACAGGUGUGAUAAAUAUCUACGCUUGUGGUUUUCCACCAGGUAACCUUCAGUGGAUGGAGGUUCGCUGGGGCUCAUAAAGAAGGCCUCUCCUCGGUGAGGAUGGCUCCUUUGAACGUUUGAUCUCAAAUCAGGUAGGACUACCCGCUGAACUUAAGCAUAUCAAUAAGCGGAGGA
rnacentral:misc_RNA from 1 species